CAUGAAACAUCUAUUUUCAAAAAAAAAAUUCUGCAGAACCGGUGUCUAGAGUUCCAGAGAAUUGCUGUCAUAUGACUAUUUUGUCUGUUUAAUUUGUUAUACUAAGGAUAAUAGUAAGAAUGAGUGUUGUGGGUGUAAAUGAUGAAAAUCAAAGAAGUGAUGCAACUGAAAAGAGCUGUGAUGCUUUGUUAGCACCAAUUCAGCCUUCAGGAAGACCAUCCAUACUUCGUGAUUCUCAGAAGGAGAAUCUGCUUUCUAAGAAUUCUACAAAGGUUAUGAAGGUAACCUUUCAGACCCCUAUGAGAGAUCCCCAGACUCAAAAAAUCCUCUCGCCUUGCAAGGUGACUUCGUCUGAAAGCUGCAUAUCUUCAGGUGGUGAUGCUGCUGAUUCAUUUUCUGC